rnacentral:lncRNA from 1 species
UGUACUUUCGAGCACUUGGUGAUUCUUUGGCCGUUCUGCUGUUGACAAGACAGUGGUCGUGCUUUCUCAUAGUUGUUUCUGUGGUCUCCUGCAGGGUCGCCUGUGCUGACAAAGCAAUCAGUUUUAUUGUUUUGGCUUGGUUCCAAUUUGUCUCUGUCUCUUUGCUAUAUGCCUCCUCUGCUGGCGCUGUGGUGGUUCUGCCCAUUUUAAUGUCCCGUUUGUGCUCGCUUGUUCUCUUUGCGAGUGUUUUCGUCGUGGCCCCGACAUGGCUGGCUUCUCUGUCUUCAGUGGGAUGGCUGGUGGCUGUGUUGGACACUCCGGAUUUUUCGUGUUGGGUCCGCGGAUCUUUCUCGUUUCUGAUCAUAUUGAAGAGAGUUGGCGGUCUAUUAGCGGCAGUUUUUCUUUUGGUUUUUCGUGCAAUGUUUCUUGCAGUUUUCCGC